GUGCCAGCAGCCGCGGUAAUACGUAGGGCGCAAGCGUUGUCCGGAAUUAUUGGGCGUAAAGAGCUUGUAGGUGGCUUGUCGCGUCUGCCGUGAAAACCCGAGGCUCAACCUCGGGCGUGCGGUGGGUACGGGCAGGCUAGAGUGUGGUAGGGGAGACUGGAACUCCUGGUGUAGCGGUGAUAUGCGCAGAUAUCAGGAAGAACACCGAUGGCGAAGGCAGGUCUCUGGGCCAUUACUGACACUGAGAAGCGAAAGCAUGGGGAGCGAACAGGAUUAGAUACCCUGGUAGUCCAUGCCGUAAACGUUGGGCACUAGGUGUGGGGACCAUUCCACGGUUUCCGCGCCGCAGCUAACGCAUUAAGUGCCCCGCCUGGGGAGUACGGCCGCAAGGCUAAAACUCAAAUGAAUUGACGG
rnacentral:rRNA from 1 species